rnacentral:rRNA from 1 species
GGAAAAGAAACUAACAAGGAUUCCCCUAGUAACUGCGAGUGAAGCGGGAAAAGCUCAAAUUUGAAAUCUGGCAGUUUCUUAACUGUCCGAGUUGUAAUCUAGAGAAGUGUUACCUGUGCUGGACCGUGUACAAGUCUCCUGGAAUGGAGCAUCAUAGAGGGUGAGAAUCCCGUCUUUGACACGGACUACCUGUACAUUAUGGUGUGCUCUCAAAGAGUCGAGUUGUUUGGGAAUGCAGCUCAAAAUGGGUGGUAAAUGCCAUCUAAAGCUAAAUAUUGGCGAGAGACCGAUAGCGAACAAGUACCGUGAGGGAAAGAUGAAAAGAACUUUGGAAAGAGAGUUAAACAGUACGUGAAAUUGCUGAAAGGGAAACGCUUGAAGUCAGUCACAUUGGCUAGAAAUCAGCUUUGCUUUUGCUUGGUGUACUUUCUGGUUGAUGGGUCAGCAUCAAUUUUGACCAUUGGAUAAAGUCUUUGGGAAUGUGGCAUCCUUGGAUGUGUUAUAGCCCAUUGUCGUAUACAGUGGUCGGGAUUGAGGAACUCAGCACGCCGCAAGGCCAGGUUUCGACCAUGUUCGUGCUUAGGAUGCUGGCAUAAUGGCUUUAAUCGACCCGUCUUGAAACACGGACCAAGGAGUCUAACAUGCCUGCGAGUGUUUGGGUGGAAAACCCAUGCGCGUAAUGAAAGUGAAAGUUGAGAUCCCUGAAAGGGGAGCAUUGACGCCCGGACCAGACCUUUUGUGACGGAUCCGCGGUAGAGCAUGUAUGUUGGGACCCGAAAGAUGGUGAACUAUGCCUGAAUAGGGUGAAGCCAGAGGAAACUCUGGUGGAGGCUCGUAGCGAUUCUGACGUGCAAAUCGAUCGUCAAAUUUGGGUAUAGGGGCGAAAGACUAAUCGAACCA